rnacentral:rRNA from 1 species
UACGGAGGAUGCGAGCGUUAUCCGGAUUUAUUGGGUUUAAAGGGAGCGCAGGCUGCGAGGCAAGUCAGCGGUCAAAUGUCGGGGCUCAACCCCGGUCUGCCGUUGAAACUGUCCUGCUAGAGUUCGAGUGAGGUAUGCGGAAUGCGUUGUGUAGCGGUGAAAUGCAUAGAUAUGACGCAGAACUCCGAUUGCGAAGGCAGCAUACCAACUCGCGACUGACGCUGAGGCUCGAAAGCGUGGGUAUCGAACAGG